rnacentral:lncRNA from 1 species
CAAGAAUGGAAUUUUUGCGUUAUGAAAUUUGUGAACAAAGCCAUACAAAUUUUCCCACGUAUGAGCAAAUUUACAUGUAUAACUAUCUCGGUCGAAUUGUGUGCAAAUAAUGUGCAAACAAUUUUUGCACACUGUUAAAGUUGCAGAAUUAUUUUUAGCGUGCAUGGAUUUGAAACAUGUUGUCAAAACACGAAAGAAGAAAAAUAGAAAAUCGAUUUGUCGGAUCGGCGGUGUUUGAAAAACAUUUUUUACGUUCUAUUUGAGUGGUAGGCAGUGAAAAGAACCAGGCACAAGUAUUGGGGAACCGAGCACUUUCUAGAAGUGCUGCUGCGGGGAAAUAAUCAUCCUUGCGGAAUCGUCAAUUCCUGGUGGACCAGUGUCUUUCCGGUCUUUCGCAAACCCGGAGGAUGACCGCUUCAUUUAUCACGGCCAACCAUCCUUCACCUGAAUCACAUAUCGUACGCGAUCCCGAGGAAAAGUGCAUUAUUUAGGUGGCUGCCAUGGAUUCGACGCCCAGUGUUGAUCUGAAUGCAGGAGUAAUUAUAAUGUAAGGAAUGACUCCGACUCGGUUGUAUUGUCUAUCCGAGUCAUUGCUGUAACGUCGCUCAACCGGCGCCAUCGAUGGACUAGUGAGCGCUUUUCAGUUUAGUGUUGAACGCAUUAAGGUUAUUCACAAAUUUCAUAAUGCUGAAAACUUAAAUGAACUUAAACAUUUUAAGAACUCCCCGUACCCCUUUCAACGUUAUAAAAUUUUCCCCUUACGCGCGA